GCGACGUAGCUCAAGUGACUAGAACGGUGGAUUAGCGUUCCGGAGAUCGCGGGUUCAAGUCCCGCUGGUCGUC
rnacentral:tRNA from 1 species